UUUAACUGAAGAGUUUGAUCAUGGCUCAGAUUGAACGCUGGCGGCAGGCUUAACACAUGCAAGUCGAGCGGAGAGAGGUAGCUUGCUACUGAUCUUAGCGGCGGACGGGUGAGUAAUGCUUAGGAAUCUGCCUAUUAG
rnacentral:rRNA from 1 species